AGUGAACGCUGGCGGUAGGCCUAACACAUGCAAGUCGAACGGCAGCACAGUAAGAGCUUGCCCUUACGGGUGGCGAGUGGCGGACGGGUGAGGAAUACAUCGGAAUCUACUUUUUCGUGGGGGAUAACGUAGGGAAACUUACGCUAAUACCGCAUACGACCUACGGGUGAAAGAAGGGGAUCUUCGGACCUUGCGCGAUUGAAUGAGCCGAUGUCGGAUUAGCUAGUUGGCGGGGUAAAGGCCCACCAAGGCGACGAUCCGUAGCUGGUCUGAGAGGAUGAUCAGCCACACUGGAACUGAGACACGGUCCAGACUCCUACGGGAGGCAGCAGUGGGGAAUAUUGGACAAUGGGCGCAAGCCCGAUCCAGCCAUACCGCGUGGGUGAAGAAGGCCUUCGGGUUGUAAAGCCCUUUUGUUGGGAAAGAAAAGCAGCAGGUUAAUACCCCGCUGUUCUGACGGUACCCAAAGAAUAAGCACCGGCUAACUUCGUG
rnacentral:rRNA from 1 species